GAUUGAAUUUUGGAAAUGAAGUGUAGCGAGUAGUUGUUUGCGAACCGGAAAUGUCAACGUGCCUCCAAACUUGGGCGAGCUCAUUUCGAAUUUGAAGAUAUGGCACAUGGUCUCGUUUAGCAGAAUAAAACUGAAUGAGAUAGCUUCGUAAUUUUGGGUGAAGAGAAAUUAGACCAAUCCAAAUAGCAAUUGGUAAAUAACGGUCAAUUGAAAUGCGCAGGUAUGCCAACAGGAAUAUGAGAACUAAAGAAACUAGCAGUCCAGAUGAAAUAGCAG